rnacentral:tRNA from 1 species
GGAGAGGUGGCAGAGCGGCUUAAUGCGGUGGUCUUGAAAACCAUUGAAGAUAAAAUUUAUUCUUCCCAGGGUUCAAAUCCCUGCCUCUCCG